CGUACACUCCUACGGGAGGCAGCAGUGGGGAAUAUUGGACAAUGGGCGCAAGCCUGAUCCAGCCAUGCCGCGUGAGUGAUGAAGGCCCUAGGGUUGUAAAGCUCUUUCACCGGAGAAGAUAAUGACGGUAUCCGGAGAAGAAGCCCCGGCUAACUUCGUGCCAGCAGCCGCGGUAAUACGAAGGGGGCUAGCGUUGUUCGGAAUUACUGGGCGUAAAGCGCACGUAGGCGGAUCGAUCAGUCAGGGGUGAAAUCCCAGGGCUCAACCCUGGAACUGCCUUUGAUACUGUCGAUCUGGAGUAUGGAAGAGGUGAGUGGAAUUCCGAGUGUAGAGGUGAAAUUCGUAGAUAUUCGGAGGAACACCAGUGGCGAAGGCGGCUCACUGGUCCAUUACUGACGCUGAGGUGCGAAAGCGUGGGGAGCAAACAGGAUUAGAUACCCCGGUAGUCCCAUG
rnacentral:rRNA from 1 species